CCUACGGGGGGCAGCAGUGAGGAAUAUUGGUCAAUGGACGAGAGUCUGAACCAGCCAAGUAGCGUGAAGGAUGACUGCCCUAUGGGUUGUAAACUUCUUUUAUAUGGGAAUAAAAUGUUCCACGUGUGGGAUUUUGUAUGUACCAUAUGAAUAAGGAUCGGCUAACUCCGUGCCAGCAGCCGCGGUAAUACGGAGGAACCGAGCGUUAUCCGGAUUUAUUGGGUUUAAAGGGAGCGUAGGUGGAUUGUUAAGUCAGUUGUGAAAGUUUGCGGCUCAACCGUAAAAUUGCAGUUGAAACUGGCAGUCUUGAGUGCAGGAGAGGUAGGCGGAAUUCGUGGUGUAGCGGUGAAAUGCUUAGAUAUCACGAAGAACUCCGAUUGCGAAGGCAGCUCACUGGACUGCAACUGACACUGAGGCUCGAAAGUGUGGGGAUCAAACAGGAUUAGAUACCCCAGUAGUC
rnacentral:rRNA from 1 species